rnacentral:lncRNA from 1 species
GGCCUGGCCUGUUUGGAGGGGGAGCCCUAGGAUGUGUUCUUUCUCUAGAAACCCCUUGGAGCAAUCAUGGACCCCAGCCUUGCUGCCUCAGCCUCAACUCACACCUUGGCAGGGUUGCCAGGUUAAAUACAAGAUGCCCGUGUCAUACAUGGAACCUAUCUAUUCUAAAAAAUUAUUUGUUGCUUAUCUCAAAUUCAAAUUUAACAGCUGUAUUUUUAUUUGUAGGCAUCUGUAUUUUUAUUUGCUAAAUCUGGCAACCCUAAACCUCAGGCUUCCCAGUUGUCAUCCCAAACAGUGGGGCUAAGGACAACCCACCUGAAGGAGCCCAGAGAUCCUGGUUUUCUGCAGGAGCUUUGGAAGAUCUCUCCUAGUUCUGGAUCUCUGACUCUCCCCAGCAUCCUGAUUGUUCUCAGUGGAACCUGGAUGUCCUGUAGCCUCUGCCUCCUCCAGAACCAAGCUGAGCCUCUUGCCCACCUACACCAGAAGCAAUGUGCUCAUUUGCUCAGCCCCACCUUUACACCAGCAGUUCAUGUCCGUCUCUCUUCAGCCUGCCCUCUCCCUUCCCCACUCACCUCCACUGGGCUUGGACGAGACAGAUGUGGACCCAGCCAUUAGGGAGCCAGCGGCCGUGUUGGGAGCUGCCCUAUGGAGAAGCCCAUGUGCCAAGGCACGGAGGGUGGCCUCUGGCCAGUGGGCAGUGAGGAGGAAAUCGAGGCUUUCAGUCCAACAGCUCACGAGGAACUGAAUCUGCCAACAACCACCUGAGGGAGCUUGGAAGUGAAUCCUUCCUCAGUCAGGCCUUGAGAUGACUACAGCCACGGACAAUGCCUUGAUUGCAGCCUGUGAAAGAGCCUGAAAUAGAGGACUCAGCUAAGUUGCACCUGGAUCCAUGACCUUCAGAAACUGUGAGAUAAUAAAAGUUGUUUUAAAACGCUUAAACUUUAGGGUAAUUUGCAGCAAUAGGUAACUAACACAAAGUAUAAUUUGGAAAAGGCCAGUCCCGCCUGUCACCAUCAGAACAUAUAUAUUCACUAAUUUGGAUGUCUUCUUUUGUCACUAUUGGUAUGGGGGAGAUACCAUACAUCAGGGUCCAUGGUCUGUGUCUGUCAGAGUCUAGCGAGAAAACAGAAACCACACCGGUUAUCUUCACAGAAUUUAAUAUCAAGAAUUGUAUCACUUAACGGUCAGUAUAGUGUGAAAAGUGAAAAUCACCAAGAACCAAUAAAAAAAAUCACUCUCAGAAAAUCCUAUAGAUCAUCAGGACCUGGGCCUUGGAAACUCAAAAGCCAAGAAUUAUUUAGUUUGAUAUUGUUUUUGCAGCAUUUCAGCUUCUCUUCCAUUUCUUUGGGGCGGUGGAGGCUAAGAACCUAUUUUGAACAUGAACAGAGAGAUUUCUCUCUCUCUCU